rnacentral:rRNA from 1 species
GAUGAACGCUGGCGGCGUGCUUAACACAUGCAAGUCGAACGGUGAAGCCAAGCUUGCUUGGUGGAUCAGUGGCGAACGGGUGAGUAACACGUGAGCAACCUGCCCUGGACUCUGGGAUAAGCGCUGGAAACGGCGUCUAAUACUGGAUAUGAGCUUCUACCGCAUGGUGGGGGGUGGCAAGCUGUUUUGGUCUGGGAUGGGAUCGCGGCCUAUCAGCUUGUUGGUGAGGUAAUGGCUCACCAAGGCGUCGAGGGGUCGCCUGCCUGAGAGGGGUACCGGCCACACUGGGACUGAGACACGGACCAGACUCCUACGGGAGGCAGCAGUGGGGAAUAUUGCACAAUGGGCGAAAGCCUGAUGCAGCAACGCCGCGUGAGGGAUGACGGCCUUCGGGUUGUAAACCUCUUUUAGCAGGGAAGAAGCGAAAGUGACGGUACCUGCAGAAAAAGCGCCGGCUAACUACGUGCCAGCAGCCGCCGUAA